GUCAACGGAGAAGACGGCUCAAUGGGUCUGCUAGAGCGGCCAUGUCCCAUAUGGUGUACUCCGGUCUUGUGGACCUCCUCAGAGUCCACACUUGGUGACGUCAGAAAGUGCAGAACUACAGGACACUAGUCCAAAAGGAUGGUGGGCUCUCCCUCUUCCUCGUGGAUAUUUGCUGGUGGCUUUUGGUCGGGGUCACUGUGUGCAGCUAUGACACGUCAGAGGAGGUCUGGCCCUCCCGGCUGAUCCUGGUUUCUCCCGAGGUUUUUUUCCGCAUUAAUCAAUCAUUGGAGUUUGGGUUCCUCGUCACAGCAGGGCAGUGUUGGCUUGCUCACCGGGAGACUGCAUUUAUUUAUUAGAUAUUAUUUAUUAGAAUGAUCUUGCUUGUUCUAUAAACACCUUGUGCUGUGUUUUACCUUUUCUGUUUUUCCUGUUUGCCACUGUAAAGCUGCUUUGGAACAAUGCACAUUGUGAAAAGCGUUAUAUAAAUAAACUUGAAUUGAAUUA